UCUAUGAGUAAAACUUAAUGUGUGCCUUCCAACAAGCGACACAGUGCGACACAGUGAUCAUGUCAUGUUUGUUUAACAUUGGCAAACAACAAGGACGUAAUGAUCCAUUGUGUCACACC